rnacentral:lncRNA from 1 species
AUAUUGCAGGAUGUAAACAAGUUCGAAAAUGGUUAAUCAUCCCGAGAUUUAUUCAACAAGAGUUUCUAAUCUUACAAAAGUUGACAAUUCACAACUUACAUCGCCUGGUACACGUAAUACACUUUGAUCAAGAUACCGACUGCUAACCUCUAACUCUCAAACUAUUAAAGAAACAAAUCGAACGGAUUAUGAUAGAAGAAAAACGAGGAGUGGGGAAAAGAAGUAAAAAUUACAAGAUCAGACAAUUAAAGAUAAAUUUCAAAACAUU